GGGUUGUGAGGUUAAGCGACUAAGCGUACACGGUGGAUGCCCUGGCAGUCAGAGGCGAUGAAGGACGUGCUAAUCUGCGAUAAGCGUCGGUGAGGUGAUAUGAACCGUUAUAACCGGCGAUUUCCGAAUGGGGAAACCCAGUGUGUUUCGACACACUAUCAUUAACUGAAUCCAUAGGUUAAUGAGGCGAACCGGGGGAACUGAAACAUCUAAGUACCCCGAGGAAAAGAAAUCAACCGAGAUUCCCCCAGUAGCGGCGAGCGAACGGGGAGGAGCCCAGAGCCUGAAUCAGUGUGUGUGUUAGUGGAAGCGUCUGGAAAGGCG
rnacentral:rRNA from 1 species